UACCAGGCACCCCGAGUGGUCGGGACGAUUAUUGGGCCUAAAGCAUCCGUAGCCGGUCCUGCAAGUCUUCCGUUAAAUCCAGCUGCUCAACAGAUGGGCUGCGGGGGAUACUACAGGGCUAGGAGGCGGGAGAGGCAAGCGGUACUUUAUGGGUAGGGGUAAAAUCCGUUGAUCCAUAGAAGACCACCAGUGGCGAAGGCGGCUUGCCAGAACGCGCUCGACGGUGAGGGAUGAAAGCUGGGGGAGCAAAGCCGG
rnacentral:rRNA from 1 species